AAAUUGAAGAGUUUGAUCAUGGCUCAGAUUGAACGCUGGCGGCAGGCCUAACACAUGCAAGUCGAGCGGUAACA
rnacentral:rRNA from 1 species